rnacentral:tRNA from 1 species
GGACAGGUGUCAGAGUGGUCUAAUGAGCACGCCUGGAAAGCGUGUGUAGCCUAAACAGCUACCGAGGGUUCGAAUCCCUCCCUGUCCGCCA